UCGAGAAAAGCCUAACAUCUUCAAUCCUUUUCUUGUCUUCGCUGCAUAAUCGCAAAUCCUUCUCAUCUUUUCAUCUUCGCACGAAUCUUCAUUCGUGAAAAUAAUCUUCACAAUCGCCGCUCCCUUCGUGCAAAUCUUCACUGCUUCCGUUCUCUCUCGUGCAAACUGAAUGGAAAUGAGGGUUUUGAACCCACCCCUACGCCGAAAUAACUCUGAUUCAUCCCACGGAUGCCUCUCCUCUCCAAUCCAUAGAUUUUCAACUCUCACAACUCCAUUCUUGAUUCGUUUUUGUUCUUUAUCAUUUUUCUUAUCGAUUUGCGCCGCCUGUGCAGAGUUUUUAGGCUUCGAAGAUCAAGAGCAACCAUUGACUCAGGUUACGUACUCGGUGCUUCAACGACCUCACUCGUGUCUUUGCCGCUUCCCCUCUUCCUUUUGAAAUUCUUUGAGUUAGUCACUAGGUUCACAAGUUUUUAAGAGAGAAUUGAGGAAGGCGUAAACCCUAGCUCUACAAUUGAAGCCUCUGCCGACAUUUGCUAAUUGAAUUCAACAACCAUGGCUACUGCAAGGGCAAUUAAGGAUCUAUCUCCUUAAGAGUUUGUGAAGUUAUUUGCCACUCAUCUCAAGCAAUUCGAAAAGGUUUGAUUUCGUUGCUCUCAGUACAUUCUUCGAAGAAUCAAAACCAUGGAUGGACAAGUUACAUAUACUGCAUAACUUGGCAUCAGAAUGUGGUUCAUCAGCCAAGAAUUUCAAAGCUAUUGCUGAUCUACCAACGACAAGUUUGCAGUGAUUGAAGGAUUUUCUACCUUUCUAUUUUCUGAAGAAGGUUGGAACAAUAUUAGCAAGUGGAGAACGAAAGAGUGUGAGCUAAUAGCUAAGGUGAUGGACAAAGUAAGGGAAGGAGUUAUCACCAUGGCUUGGGUUGCAACUUCAAUGUUCAGCUUGGUUCCAGGUGAAUGAAAUAAUAUAAAAGCAAAUGGAUUAAAGAUGACAACUCAUUGUACUAUAGGUUGCUUUAUUCUCCAAAAUGUGGUGAAUUUUGUAAUAUAUGAGCUCACUUUAUUAGAUAUUACUUUUGGUGAAUUUAUGUAACUUUACUAAUAUUGAAUACUUUAUUAUGUGA